ACCCUUAGAAGGCUGUCGAGAGUGCUUGCCAUAGGUACAAGCUCACCACCGACACAUAAUGUCUCUCGUGCGAAAAUGAGAAGUGCUGAUGCCACGAUACAAGAUCGCAAGAUGAGAAGUGCUAGAUGCCACAAACACAAGAUCGUCACAGGCACACAACGUCACUCAUGAGGGAUAACUAAUCAAACCCUCAGAAGGCCGUUGAGAGUGCAUGCCAUAGACACAAGCUUGCCACCGGCACACAAUGCUUCUCGCAUGA
rnacentral:lncRNA from 1 species